rnacentral:misc_RNA from 1 species
ACAAACUUGGUCAUUUAGAGGAAGUAAAAGUCGUAACAAGGUUUCCGUAGGUGAACCUGCGGAAGGAUCAUUAUUGAUUAAUAAAUCUACUUGAUGGCAAGGUAUUGAAAGGGAUGUGUGGGGAGAGAGAGGAGGAGGGAGGAGCGUGUGUGGGUGUGCUAGCAAUAGCACCCCAAGCGCGCGUCUCUUGUCUUUUGUCUUUCCACGCACACACCCAACACAAACCACUUUUAGUAUUAAACAGCCAAUAAAGAAUUCAUAAACUAGUAAAACUUGCAACAAUGGAUCUCUUGGCUCUUGCAUCGAUGAAGAACGCAGC